UGACGUCUACUGAAGCAAUGCAUUGACUGAAGCUAAUAUAUCCCGACAUGCCUCUCGGCUGGUUUGCCGUUGCCGUCGGACCGGCCAGUCUUUAUUCUAUGCUUUUCUCUUGUGGUGGUUGGCGUGUUGUAGCAGCGCUCGUUGUGGGGCAUCUUCGAGUCAAUCCAUUUCCAUCGUUUCAAGUAUGAAUCGUGUACCUGCGGCUGUUCAGGGUGCCGGUAACACGACACCACGUGUGUACGUAUGCUGUCUGUCUUUGUAGUCUUUGCUAAUCGGACGUGAUGCUUGUUAUCCCUGUCCUACUGAAAAGCACCGGACAGCACGGCGGCCACGGCAUGUACGAACUGACCCUGCUGGUGUAAGCUGAACGCUGUGCUGUGAAGGCACCGGACAGCACGGCGGCCACGGCAUAUACGAACUGACCCUGCUGGUGUAAGCUGAACGCUGUGCUGUGAAGGGGCAACAACCUGCACUCUCACUGUAAGAGGACAAGGAGGAAGUAAAACAAGACAGGUGGACCUGAGGGCUGGUGGUUGUAGCAUCUGCCUCAUCUCAAUGGUUACCUCGAAAUGCCCGUGCAGUCUUGCAAUCACUGAGAAGGCUUUCCAGUGCCUUGGCUACUGUUAGUGGGCUUUCCAGUGCCUUGGCUACUGUUAGUGGGCUUUCCAGUGCCUUGGCUACUGUAGCGGGUACAGCGGAUGAAAGCCACUGCAUCUUCACAAGACAGCUUUUGGAGAAAUAAAGUUUUCAUUCAGACUUUC
rnacentral:lncRNA from 1 species